UGGUCUUAAACUUCGGGGGGUGCAGGAGAGUUAUCAUAGCGCACGGUAUCUGAAUAUAAGCCUGAGAGUGGAGCAGGCUCACUUGGAAUGGUGGUCUAUGGGGGGCCUAUGUGGCGGCAGGUGCUUGUAUUCAGAUGGUCCCUGGAUUUGCCAUCUUGCAAAGGGGUUGCCUUUGGGUCACUUUUCAAAGGAGUAUUUCUGUACUGUUCUGGCUCCGAGAUCUGAACGGUGAAGUUGGUUGCAUCUACAAAAUCGAUUGUCGGCACGGAUGCACAGUGGGUUUCAUAAGAGCCAUACGUGGCCAAGUCCAACAGCCAGCAAUGCUGGAACCAUUUACAACAUCUCAGCCAACUACAAGCACCCAUAAAAAGGAGGAGUG
rnacentral:lncRNA from 1 species